CAGAGGGGGCAAGCGUUAUUCGGAAUUAUUGGGCGUAAAGGGCGCGUAGGCGGCCAUUCAAGUGACGGGUGAAAGCCCUCGGCUUAACCGAGGAACUGCCUGUCAGACUGGAUGGCUUGAGACCGGGAGAGGUGAGUGGAAUUCCCAGUGUAGCGGUGAAAUGCGUAGAUAUUGGGAGGAACACCAGUGGCGAAGGCGGCUCACUGGACCGGAACUGACGCUGAGGCGCGAAAGCGUGGGGAGCAAACAGGAUUAGAUACCCUGGUAGUCCACGCCGUAAACGAUGAGUGCUUGGUGUAGCGGGUAUCGACCCCAGCUGUGCCGAAGUCAACACAUUAAGCACUCCGCCUGGGGAGUACGGUCGCAAGACUG
rnacentral:rRNA from 1 species